CGAUCCUGAAAGUGGACAAUGCUCUAAAGAUGGCAAAGACGAGGAAAAAAAGUCCAGAUUGUCAACAUCUCAGCGUUUGAAGCUUGACUCUUCAAUAUCCGCUUGGAAUGAUGAACCAGAUAAUGAAUCCACUGUUACAUGUAGGAUGCAAGCAAUUGAUGUGCUUGAACAAGAGGAGGACAGAUGAGAAAUGUGUCGGGAAGAGGAAAAAAGUUUAUCCCAGCAAGGCCGU